CCUACGGGUGGCUGCAGUCGAGAAUCAUUCACAAUGGGGGAAACCCUGAUGGUGCGACGCCGCGUGGGGGAAUGAAGGUCUUCGGAUUGUAAACCCCUGUCAUGUGGGAGCAAAUUAAAAAGAUAGUACCACAAGAGGAAGAGCCGGCUAACUCUGUGCCAGCAGCCGCGGUAAUACAGAGGUCUCAAGCGUUGUUCGGAAUCACUGGGCGUAAGGCGUGCGUAGGCUGUUUCGUAAGUCGUGUGUGAAAGGCGCGGGCUCAACCCGCGGACGGCACAUGAUACUGCGAGACUAGAGUAAUGGAGGGGGAACCGGAAUUCUCGGUGUAGCAGUGAAAUGCGUAGAUAUCGAGAGGAACACUCGUGGCGAAGGCGGGUUCCUGGACAUUAACUGACGCUGAGGCACGAAGGCCAGGGGAGCGAAAGGGAUUAGAUACCCGGGUAGUC
rnacentral:rRNA from 1 species